rnacentral:lncRNA from 1 species
AUGUCUUCCUUUCUCUCUUCAAGGCUUCUUGCCACAACCACCACAUCCCAGUCUGGUUCCUGGGAACAGGAUCGCUCCUCUGACAUCUCACAAGGUCCUCCUCUGGGGAAAAUUGGAACCGAAGCCCCUCCCACCGCACUUGGAGACAUCUGUGUUCCUGGCUGGGAUCCCUCUGCGUGGGCUGCGGGCAGGCUGAGAUGGCCCGGGCGUGGAGCCCCGGCUCGGCGGGACAGUGGCAGGGGACCUGUCUGGUUGAGGCAGAGCUCAGCCACCCUGCAACCAGGAGUCAGAGCCAGGAAGAACAGCCGGCCUGCGGGAGCCCACCCCUCCCAGCUGCCUCUGGAGCCCUCAGCGUCUCCAGGGUCACCUGCCUGGGGCUCCCCCAAUCUCCCAGCCUCUUGGAGGGUCCUAAACCUCAGGCCAGAGACCGGAGUGAGGGAGGUGACAGAGUGUCUGUGUCCCCGCUCAAGGCCACGCAGCGAUCAGAGCCAGAUCUAAGAUUAGAUUGGGUAGGUUUCUGGCCUCCAGAUACACAGCGAAGCCCCAAACUCAUGCUGUGUCUUGGCAAAGCUCCUUCACGUUCCUCUAACUCAGACCCGCCCUAGUUUGUCUCUGGAAAUAUUGUAGCUGUCAUAAUCAUUGUUCUAAUAAAAUACUCAUCUGACGAUCUAUUAGUAAGGCAUAUUGUUGACAGGAAAUGUGCAUUUGCCAUAUUUCCCAUUAUAUUGUCUAUUUCCUGCCUCAUUUUUCUUGGGAGGGCAGGAGUCACUGGAGAUAAUAGCAUAUUGACAGAGAAAGCAAGGGAAAGAGAUGGUUGAAAGUGGGAGAGCUUAGCUCUGUCCGCCUGCAGAGGUUUCCAGCAGGAAAUCCACACUCAUUUCCUGUCCUCUUGCUAAAAUGGCAUCUGCCCCUUCCUACUCCUUCUCCCAUUAAACAAAUUGUCUCCUGGCCCUGAGAGGCUGACUCCCUGGUCAUAGGAUGGAGGCCCGGCCGGGUGUUUCUGGGGGCUGCAGUGGCAGGGAAAGGGGGGAGAGCUUCUGUAAGAAUCCAGAAGAGACUAUGAAAUGAGCUGUUUCCCUUGUACCACAAUCAACGAGACCUAAUGGAGGCUGGUGGAAUGGGAAGGUAGAAAGAACCCUGUUUUCUAGAAGCUUCUUGCCCACAAUCUGCUGUCUCGAUAUCAAAUGGCAAAUUGUGCAUCACCAGGAAAAAAACAACACUUACUGGUUGUGCAAAACGCAGUGGUGUGAGGGGAAAAUAUUGGUCAGUGGCCCCUUUCAGAGCGCCCACGGGGUGGGUGGGAACGGUUCCGCGGGGUGAUUGAUGGUCCCUCGGCAGCCCCGGCCUGCACUUGGGAAGCUCUGGUUUUGCAGAUCCCCGGCCCUGUGGGUUGUGGGUCCCCGGGAGGGUG